CCAACUGGGCAGAGGGAUCCUCCUCCCAUCAUCACUGCAGGGAUACCUCAUGUCAAAUCAGGCUGUCCAGAACCACAUCCAGCCUGGACUUAGAGACCUCCAGGGAUGGAGCUUCCACCACCUCUCUGGACAAUCUGUUCCAGCAUCUCACCACCCUCACAGUGAAGAACCUCUUCCCAACAUCUAAUCCAAAUCUAUCCACCUCUAAAUUUGCUCCAGUUUGUCUUUUCUGACUAUAAAUAACCAAAGAGUAACCCAGUGCCAGUUCAACACUGUUAAUUUUAAAGUACGAUAAAGUCUAACAGAUUGUCAAAAUCUUACAAUCAUUAUCUCUCCCAAUACAUUGUAUGUGAAAGUGGUGAUUUAAAAUUAUUCUUGUGAACUUCUUUUCACAAAAGAGAAUCAUGUAUUUGGAGUCUACUCAAAUGGCCUUCCCAUGUUAGCAGAACCACCCUGUCCAUUCUUGGCAGUGUGGAUUUUCAUGUAGAAAACUUCGAACAGGCUGGAAGGUGAAGGUGGCUAAUUUGAUUUAGAUUAUGCAUCCUCAAACAACAAACAAGGCUUCAUUUCCAGUUCCACUGACAGAUUCUGAUUCUAAACGCUGCAGCCCCUGUGAUGGAGAGUUUCCAAGCAGGUUAUCUUCUAGCCACCUUCACAGGGAAAUUAAACAGUACUUAUUUACUUAUUUUUGCAUUUACAAAAUUAACAGUUUUGGAAUUCAGAGGUGUAAAGCCCAUAUUAAUUUUUCUGGUUUGCCCACAAAAUAGUGAUGGUCCCUGGAAGCAAAAGCAAGAUAACAAAACUAAUUUAUUGAGAGAUUUAUGUUACUUUCAAUUCUAGUUUGAAUUACCAGUGAGUGGGUUUACUCUCUGCAAACUCUUUGAGUGAUAAUUUUAAUUAGACCAAGUGAUGUCAAUGAAAGACAUGAACAAGCUUUUGUCCUCAUGAGCCCAUUUUUGGACCUGUAGUCUAUUCUCCUUUUGAGAACAGUUUAUUUACUCUGCUUUUCAUGACUUUGUCCUUAUACUUUUCAGUGAAAUAAAUUACAGUAAACAGACCAA